rnacentral:rRNA from 1 species
ACGUAGGUGGCGAGCGUUGUCCGGAUGUACUGGGCGUAAAGAGCGCGCAGGCGGUCGUGCAAGUCGCGUGUGAAAGCCCCCGGCUCAACUGGGGAGGGUCACGCGAUACUGCUCGACUCGAAGGCAGGAGAGGGAAGUGGAAUUCCCGGUGUAGUGGUGAAAUGCGUAGAUAUCGGGAGGAACACCAGUGGCGAAGGCGACUUCCUGGCCUGUUCUUGACGCUGAGGCGCGAAAGCUAGGGUAGCAAACGGG